rnacentral:rRNA from 1 species
GAUGAACGCUAGCGGCAGGCUUAACACAUGCAAGUCGAGGGGUAUAGUUCUUCGGAGCUAGAGACCGGCGCACGGGUGCGUAACGCGUAUGCAAUCUACCUUUUGCAGAGGGAUAGCCCAGAGAAAUUUGGAUUAAUACCUCAUGGUAUGUGAGAAUGGCAUCAUUUUCACAUUAAAGUCACAUCGGCAAAAGCUGAGCAUGCGUCCCAUUAGCUAGUUGGUAAGGUAACUGCUUACCAAGGCAACGAUGGGUAGGGGUCCUGAGAGGGAGAUCCCCCACACUGGUACUGAGACACGGACCAGACUCCUACGGGAGGCAGCAGUGAGGAAUAUUGGACAAUGGGCGCAAGCCUGAUCCAGCCAUGCCGCGUGCAGGAUGACGGUCCUAUGGAUUGUAAACUGCUUUUGUACAGGAAGAAACACUGGUUCGUGAACCAGCUUGACGGUACUGUAAGAAUAAGGAUCGGCUAACUCCGUGCCAGCCGCCGCCGUAAUAC